rnacentral:rRNA from 1 species
GAUGAACGCUAGCGGCAGGCUUAAUACAUGCAAGUCGAGGGGCAUCAAGGUACACGAAAGUGUAUUGUUGGCGACCGGCGGACGGGUGAGUAAUAGGUAGGUAACCUACCUCAUACUGAGGCAUAGCUGGGAGAAAUUCCAGGUAAUUCCUCAUGAGGUUAUAUGACACAUGUGAUAUAAUCAAAGGUAUCGCAAGGUACUGGUAUGAGAUGGGCCUACUGACCAUUAGCUAGUUGGUGAGAUAAGAGCUCACCAAGGCGAAGAUGGUUAGGGGUUUGAGAGAGAGAUCCCCCACAUUGGAACUGAGAUACGGUCCAGACUCCUACGGGAGGCAGCAGUAGGGAAUAUUGGGCAAUGGGCGGAAGCCUGACCCAGCCAUGCCGCGUGAAGGAAGACGGCCUUAUGGGUUGUAAACUUCUUUACUAUGCGACUAACUAGAUUUACGAGAUAAUUCUAUAGAAUGUAGCAUAGCAAAAAGCAACCC